rnacentral:rRNA from 1 species
UACGAAGGGGGCUAGCGUUGCUCGGAAUCACUGGGCGUAAAGGGCGCGUAGGCGGAUCUUUAAGUCGGGGGUGAAAGCCCAGGGCUCAACCCUGGAAUUGCCUUCGAUACUGGAGAUCUUGAGACCGGAAGAGGUAAGUGGAACUGCGAGUGUAGAGGUGAAAUUCGUAGAUAUUCGCAAGAACACCAGUGGCGAAGGCGGCUUACUGGCCCGGUUCUGACGCUGAGGCGCGAAAGCGUGGGGAGCGAACAGG